rnacentral:rRNA from 1 species
UAUUAGUGGGGAAUAACCCUGGGAAACCGGGGCUAAUACCGCAUAAGCUCGUAAGAGGAAAGCAGCAAUGCGCUGAAAGAGGAGUCCGCGGCCGAUUAGCUAGUUGGCGGGGUAAUGGCCCACCAAGGCGAAGAUCGGUAGCCGGCCUGAGAGGGCACACGGCCACACUGGCACUGAAACACGGGCCAGACUCCUACGGGAGGCAGCAGUGGGGAAUCUUGCACAAUGGAGGAAACUCUGAUGCAGCGACGCCGCGUGAGCGAUGAAGCCCUUCGGGGUGUAAAGCUCUUUCUACGGGGAACGAUAAUGACGGUACCCGAAGAAGAAGCUGCAGCUAACUACGUGCCAGCAGCCGCGGUAAUACGUAGGCAGCAAGCGUUGUUCGGAAUUACUGGGCGUAAAGAGUGUGUAGGCGGUGUUCUAAGUGUGGUGUGAAAUCUCCCGGCUCAACUGGGAGGGUGCAUCGCAGACUGGAAUGCUAGAGUAUGGGAGAGGUAAGCGGAAUUCCUGGUGUAGCGGUGAAAUGCGUAUAGAUAUCAGGAGGAACACCUGUGGUGUAGACAGCUUACUGGACCAUGACUGACGCUGAGACACGAAAGCGUGGGUAGCAAACAGGAUUAGAUACCCUGGUAGUCCACGCCCUAAACGAUGCAUAU